rnacentral:lncRNA from 1 species
CGGCAGGGUCUGCCUGAAUUUCAUACUGAAAUCACUGUUCUUUCCAAGAUUCGCCACCACCAUCUUGUUUCACUUGUAGGUUAUUGCGAAGAACAGUCUGAGAUGAUACUUGUUUACGAGUAUAUGGAGAAGGGACCUCUUAAGAGGCAUUUGUAUGGUCCACUAUUGUGAAGAACAGUCUGAGAUGAUACUUGUUUACGAGUAUAUGGAGAAGGGACCUCUUAAGAGGCAUUUGUAUGGUCCAGGAAUAACACCCUUAUCGUGGAAGCAAAGGGUUGAGAUAUGCAUUGGUGCAGCAAGAGGCCUCCACUACCUUCAUACAGGUUUUGCUCAAGGAAUUAUCCAUCGCGACAUCAAG